rnacentral:rRNA from 1 species
GAUGAACGCUGGCGGCGUGCCUAAUACAUGCAAGUCGAGCGAACAGAUGAGGAGCUUGCUCCUCUGACGUUAGCGGCGGACGGGUGAGUAACACGUGGAUAACCUACCUAUAAGACUGGGAUAACUUCGGGAAACCGGAGCUAAUACCGGAUAAUAUAUUGAACCGCAUGGUUCAAUAGUGAAAGACGGUUUUGCUGUCACUUAUAGAUGGAUCCGCGCCGCAUUAGCUAGUUGGCAAGGUAACGGCUUACCAAGGCAACGAUGCGUAGCCGACCUGAGAAGGUGAUCGGCCACACUGGAACUGAGACACGGUCCAGACUCCUACGGGAGGCAGCAGUAGGGAAUCUUCCGCAAUGGGCGAAAGCCUGACGGAGCAACGCCGCGUGAGUGAUGAAGGUCUUCGGAUCGUAAAACUCUGUUAUUAGGGAAGAACAAAUGUGUAAGUAACUAUGCACGUCUUGACGGUACCUAAUCAGAAAGCCACGGCUAACUACGUG